CAGUGGUCAUGCACGGAUAUGAGAGUUGGACCAUAAAGAAGGCUGAGCACCAGAGAAUUGAUGCUUUUGAACUGUGGUGUUGGAGAAGACUCUUGAGAGUCCCUUUGACUGGAAGGAGAUCCAACCAGUCCAUCCUAAAGGAAAUCAACCCUGAGUAUUCAUUGGAAGGACUGAUGCUGAAGCUGAAGCUCCAAUACUUUGGCCACCUGAUGGGAAGAACUGACUCAUUAGGAAAGACCCUGAUGCUGGGAAAGAUUGAAGGUGGGAGGAGAAAAGAACCACAGAGGAUGAGAUGGCUGGAUGGCAUCACCAACUCCAUGGACAUGAGUUUGUGCAAGCUCCAGGAGAUGCUGAAGGACAGGGAAGCCUGGCGUGCUGCAGUCCAUGGAGCUGCAGAGUCUGACACAACUAACUGACUGAACAACAACAUGUCUAGCUAUCUAUCUUGGUCCGUGCUCUGAAGUAAUCAAAGUCACAUUGGAACUGAGUGAGAAAUUGG
ensembl:lncRNA